GGGGGAAUAGCUCAGCGGUAGAAUGUUUGUCUACAGUUCAAGUGGUCCUUGGUUCAAAUCCAAGUGCCCCCU